GAUGAACGCUAGCUACAGGCUUAACACAUGCAAGUCGAGGGGAAACGAUAGAGAAAGCUUGCUUUUUCUAGGCGUCGACCGGCGCACGGGUGAGUAACGCGUAUCCAACCUGCCCAUCACUUGGGGAUAACCUUGCGAAAGUAAGACUAAUACCCAAUGAUAUCUCUAGAAGACAUCUGAAGGAGAUUAAAGAAUUAUCGGUGAUGGAUGGGGAUGCGUCUGAUUAGCUUGUUGGCGGGGUAACGGCCCACCGAGGCGACGAUCAGUAGGGGUUCUGAGAGGAAGGCCCCCCACAUUGGAACUGAGACACGGUCCAGACUCCUACGGGAGGCAGCAGUGAGGAAUAUUGGUCAAUGGACGAGAGUCUGAACCAGCCAAGUAGCGUGCAGGAUGACGGCCCUAUGGGUUGUAAACUGCUUUUAUAAGGGAAUAAAGUGAGUCUCGUGAGACUUUUUGCAUGUACCUUAUGAAUAAGGACCGGCUAAUUCCGUGCCAGCCGCCGCAGUAA
rnacentral:rRNA from 1 species